rnacentral:rRNA from 1 species
UAGGGAAUCUUCCACAAUGGGCGAAAGCCUGAUGGAGCAACGCCGCGUGUGUGGUGAAGGGUUUCGGCUCGUAAAACACUGUUGUAAGAGAAGAAUGACAUUGAGAGUAACUGUUCAAUGUGUGACGGUAUCUUACCAGAAAGGAACGGCUAAAUACGUGCCAG